rnacentral:rRNA from 1 species
ACUAACGAAAUAGAGAUAUAUUAGGUGCCCUUCGGGGAAAGUUGAGACAGGUGGUGCAUGGUUGUCGUCAGCUCGUGUCGUGAGAUGUUGGGUUAAGUCCCGCAACGAGCGCAACCCCUGCCAUUAGUUGCUACGCAAGAGCACUCUAAUGGGACCGCUACCGACAAGGUGGAGGAAGGUGGGGAUGACGUCAAAUCAUCAUGCCCCUUAUGUGCUGGGCUACACACGUAAUACAAUGGUCGUUAACAAAGAGAAGCAAUACCGCGAGGUGGAGCAAAACUUCAAAAACGAUCUCAGUUCGGACUGCAGGCUGCAACUCGCCUGCACGAAGUUGGAAUUGCUAGUAAUCGUGGAUCAGCAUGCCACGGUGAAUACGUUCCCGGGUCUUGUACA